AAAAACUUCAUAAAGUUCGCCCAUAUAAUUAUGGUAAUAUGGACCAUUAGUUUCUACCAGGCUACCGUAAAUAGUCUGACUAUGGGUGUUUAGUUAUCUAUU
rnacentral:ncRNA from 2 species